AUUGAACGCUAGCGGGAUGCUUUACACAUGCAAGUCGAACGGCAGCGCGGACUACGGUCUGGCGGCGAGUGGCGAACGGGUGAGUAAUGUAUCGGAACGUGCCCAGUAGCGGGGGAUAACUACGCGAAAGCGUAGCUAAUACCGCAUACGCCCUACGGGGGAAAGCAGGGGAUCGUAAGACCUUGCACUAUUGGAGCGGCCGAUAUCGGAUUAGCUAGUUGGUGAGGUAACGGCUCACCAAGGCGACGAUCCGUAGCUGGUUUGAGAGGACGACCAGCCACACUGGGACUGAGACACGGCCCAGACUCCUACGGGAGGCAGCAGUGGGGAAUUUUGGACAAUGGGGGCAACCCUGAUCCAGCCAUCCCGCGUGUGCGAUGAAGGCCUUCGGGUUGUAAAGCACUUUUGGCAGGAAAGAAACGUCGCGGGCUAAUACCCCGUGGAACUGACGGUACCUGCAGAAUAAGCACCGGCUAACUACGUG
rnacentral:rRNA from 1 species